rnacentral:rRNA from 1 species
UACGGGGGGGGCAAGCGUUGUUCGGAAUUACUGGGCGUAAAGGGCUUGUAGGCGGCCAACUAAGUCAGACGUGAAAUCCCUCGGCUUAACCGGGGAACUGCGUCUGAUACUGGAUGGCUUGAGAUUGGGAGAGGGAAGCGGAAUUCCAGGUGUAGCGGUGAAAUGCGUAGAUAUCUGGAGGAACACCGGUGGCGAAGGCGGCAUCCUGGACCAACACUGACGCUGAGGUGCGAAAGCGUGGGGAGCAAACAGG